rnacentral:rRNA from 1 species
UACGAAGGGGGCUAGCGUUGCUCGGAAUCACUGGGCGUAAAGGGUGCGUAGGCGGGUCUUUAAGUCAGGGGUGAAAUCCUGGAGCUCAACUCCAGAACUGCCUUUGAUACUGAGGAUCUUGAGUUCGGGAGAGGUGAGUGGAACUGCGAGUGUAGAGGUGAAAUUCGUAGAUAUUCGCAAGAACACCAGUGGCGAAGGCGGCUCACUGGCCCGGUACUGACGCUGAGGUGCGAAAGCGUGGGGAGCAAAAGGG